ACACUGCUGAGGAGUCCCAAAACGGGACGAAACGGUCGUCUAGUGC
rfam:Schistosoma rodhaini strain Burundi genome assembly, scaffold: SROB_scaffold0000147